CGAGUCGAGCGGAAACGACACUAACAAUCCUUCGGGUGCGUUAAUGGGCGUCGAGCGGCGGACGGGUGAGUAAUGCCUAGGAAAUUGCCUUGAUGUGGGGGAUAACCAUUGGAAACGAUGGCUAAUACCGCAUAAUGCCUACGGGCCAAAGAGGGGGAUCUUCGGACCUCUCGCGUCAAGAUAUGCCUAGGUGGGAUUAGCUAGUUGGUGAGGUAAUGGCUCACCAAGGCGACGAUCCCUAGCUGGUCUGAGAGGAUGAUCAGCCACACUGGAACUGAGACACGGUCCAGACUCCUACGGGAGGCAGCAGUGGGGAAUAUUGCACAAUGGGCGAAAGCCUGAUGCAGCCAUGCCGCGUGUAUGAAGAAGGCCUUCGGGUUGUAAAGUACUUUCAGUUGUGAGGAAGGGGGUAACGUUAAUAGCGUUAUCUCUUGACGUUAGCAACAGAAGAAGCACCGGCUAACUCCGUGCCAGCAGCCGCGGUAAUACGGAGGGUGCGAGCGUUAAUCGGAAUUACUGGGCGUAAAGCGCAUGC
rnacentral:rRNA from 1 species